rnacentral:sRNA from 2 species
GCUAGAUCAGGGCCAAAUUCCUUGGCACCAGGAAGCGGGGGAUCCACUACGGGUGAAUUGAUCUCAUUUAUGUAUAAGAGAUCAUAGGGAACCUUCAACCGAAUCCUUAAGCUAACCUCGCAGGCGUUGGAAGGGGUAUAU